CAAUAGCGUAUAUUAAAGGUGUUGCAGUUAAAAAGCUCGUAGUUGGAUUUGUGGCGUACGGUGUGUUCCGGGCACUUGUUGUCUGAGUAACCUGCUGUUGCCAUCCUUGGGUGGAACCUGUGUGGCAUUAGGUUGUCGUGCAGGGGAUGCCCAUCAUUUACCGCGAAAAAAUUAGAGUGUUCAAAGCAGGCUUAUGCCGUUGAAUAUAUUAGCAUGGAAUAAUGAGAUAGGACUUUUUUGCUAUUUUGUUGGUUUGCGCAAAGAGGUAAUGAUUAAUAGGGACAGUUGGGGGUAUUCGUAUUCCAUUGUCAGAGGUGAAAUUCUUGGAUUUUUGGAAGACGAACUACUGCGAAAGCAUUUACCAAGGAUGUUUUCAUUAA
rnacentral:rRNA from 1 species